rnacentral:rRNA from 1 species
UACAGAGGGUGCGAGCGUUAAUCGGAAUUACUGGGCGUAAAGCGCACGUAGUCGGCUUUGCAAGUCGGGUGUGAAAUCCCCGGGCUCAACCUGGGAACUGCAUCCGAGACUGCAUUGCUAGAGUAUGGGAGAGGGAAGCGGAAUUUCUGGUGUAGCAGUGAAAUGUGUAGAUAUCAGAAGGAACAUCAGUGGCGAAGGCGGCUUCCUGGACCAAUACUGACGAUCAGGUGCGAAAGCGUGGGGAGCAAACAGG